ensembl:lncRNA
UGCCGCCGUGGUUGAGGUCUGGCGCUCUUGAUGUCGCAUAGUGCCUCCACUGCGAGCGGGCGUACAGCCGCCUCACCCUUCUGGGAGAUGCUGGCGCUGUUGGCCCAGCAGCCGGGCGUGGAGUGGCUGAAGCUGAGCCUCGCCGGGCAGGCGGCUGUUGCAUCGCCGUGCAGCCGAGGAAGGGGGCAGACGACGGCGUGCAGGACCCGGGCGGCGGCGGGGCGGCGCAGCGGCUCCGGAGGGUGCGAUGCAGCAGCGGGUAGGAGGGGAGGAUGGUUCUCCUCAGAAACACUCACUGGGACCUCAGCCUCUGAAGACGUUGCUGUUGUUGGAGUGUUCGGGGGAUACUAGGCUUUGGCAAGCCUACCUGGAGGGGCUGAAGAAGUUUCUUGCCUUUAGGAAGGACAUGGGGAUGCCUGCAGCCUGGCCCAUUCCAGAGGAUCAAGUUAGAGGAUUUCUAGCUGUGGAGUCUCUUUACUCGUGCUCAAAAACAUUGACGUAUGUGGCAGCGUUGUCUUACUUAUCAAGACUGUCUGGUAACCCUGACCCUCUGGAAGAUGCUAUAACCCGUUGUAUGGUAAUGGGGUUGAGACGUCAAGUGGGCAUCCUGAGGGAAAAAUACACUCCUAUAACAAUUGAGGUGCUACGAUCUCUCUUAGGAGCACUGGAAUCUGUGUGUGUAUCCCAUUAUGAAUGCUUACUGUUCCGUGCAUUGUUCACCGUGGCUCUUUUUGGGGCACUUCGAAUAGGAGAGAUGGUGGCAAAGCACCGUAAUGUACUGCAGCCUGAACUGCUGUACUUGAGGGAUGUGCGGGUGACAGAAAGCAGGGUGGCGUUUCACCUGCAUAACUGUCCUGUCGGCCAGGAGAGACCCAUCAUCAGCCUUGCUCUGUCAGGAGAGCCGUGGGUGUGCCCUGUCCUGGCCCUCCGGAGCUAUGUCGCUGUGCGUUCAAGACUGGAAGGGCCGCUCUUCGUGCACGGGGACGAUGUGCCUGUAACAAAGAGGGGGUUUCUGACUGUUCUCAGGUGGGCCCUUAGGCUGCUGGGGCUGCCCCCGGAGCAGUACGGCGUGCACUCCUUCUGGCUGGGGACUAUCAUCACUGCUGCACGCUGUGGAUAUCCCAGGGAAGAUAUCACUCGCCUGGUGAGGUGGCCAUGUGUGUUCCCAGAGAAGUCAUAGCUAUGGAGACAGUGGGCAAAAGAAGCUAGUGGUUUCUUUCUGUAGUUUUAACAACACACACAGUUUAUAGUCCUUGGCAGUAAUUUAACAUUACCAUCUGUAAUGAAUGUUCUACCUCACUGUGGAUAUAAUCUAUGAAGUUCACUUGCAUUUGUUUUCACCCUCUGUACUGUUGAGGGUGGGGGACUGUCAAACUUGCUGUGCCCGCAGAUGCUUUUAUCUUGUAUGACUUCAGUUAAUAAAUGCUUCCUUUUUCAAAAAGC